GAGAGAGAGAGAGCCACAAUAGCACACAUCCCCAUGUGCAACAGCAAAAAGAACGUCUGGUCAGGGGCAUAUAACCUAUUCACUAUUCACCUUCAUUUGUUUCUAUAGCCCGUCUCAUUAGUCAUUUUUGCUCUUUUGAGUCUCUUCUUUUCACAGGUUUCCUCUUGUUUGCCUUGGACAAGGACGUCACUCCCAAUACCAUAGAGCAUCAUAUAGUUUUACGACCAUCCAUUUUUAGGUUUUAUUAACCCACUGUACCUGCUACUACCUUGAUUAGCAUUUGGUUUCUAUCGCAACAUUGAACCCUUUUGUCUUUAAUCAGAAAUUUCAGUCAUUUUUCAAAUUACUUUCCACAAAAAUUCUAAAUUUUUGAGACCACUGUUUAAUUGUCUCCAUUUUAUUUCUGUCUAAAACAGUGACUUUAUAAAAGGUGGGAUUCCAAUGUCCUGAUUACAUAUGAAUAAGAAUUUUUUAUAUAUAGUUUUUU
rnacentral:misc_RNA from 1 species